rnacentral:rRNA from 1 species
UCUUACCGGGUCCGGACACACUGAGGAUUGACAGGCGAUUGUAGUUUUUCUAUUUAUUUAGAAUUUCUGCUAUAAAUAUGCUAGUCCUUUCAUGAUUGUGUGAUAGGUGGUGCAUGGCCGUUCUUAGUUCGUGGAGUGAUCUGUCUGCUUAAUUGCGUUUCACAAAGGAUAUUUUACUUUCUAUUGAGUCGCACGGUCUUUCCUCACGGAUUGAUCUGUUGCACUUAUAGAUGAAAUCAUCCUGAAGGCAACGAACGUGACCGCAACCUCUUGUUGCCUCCUUUUUUAUAAAACAUGAGUUCUUAUCUUCCCUUGACUUUAUUGUUUUGGGAAUUUGGUUCUCUGCAUGGAGUUUUUGCAAACUAGAGGGACCGCUGACAACUUUUAAAACAGAGGAAGGUUGCGGCAAUAACAGGUCUGUGAUGCCCUUAGAUGUUCCGGGCUGCACACGUGCUACAAUGAUUAUUGCAGUGAGCAUCUAAUUUUCAAGACUUUAAUCUUGUGUUUGUAUUGUCCUUUACGGGGCAAUCUUACAUAGAUUAGUCAUCGACCUGCUUCGAAAGUAAGCAGGUAAUCAAUUCGAAGUAAUGAUUUCCUUUUCGCACAUACUUAUAUCUCUUGUUUUGCUGCCGUGCUUUCAGCUUGCUGUUAGUAUUGUUUGUAGCCUUGAGAUAUGUGCUCCAUUAAUUCAUGGUGGGGACAGACCAUUGUUAAUUGUUGGUCUCGGUCUCAACUAGGAAUGCCUUGUACGGGUCUUUGGUUCAACAAACCACCCGGAAUAUGUCCCUGCCCUUUGUACACACCGCCCGUCGCUCUUACCGAUGGACUUCUCUGUGAGUAUAGAGGACUGGCUAGCGAUUUAUCGCAAGCUAUGGAAAUCUACGCGAACAGUGUGGUCUAAAGGAAAGAGAAGUCGUAACAAGGCA